AGAACGAACGUUGGCGGCAUGGAUUAGGCAUGCAAGUCGAGGGAAUCCGCCGCAAGGCGGGGAACCGGCGUAAGGGGCAGUAAGGCAUGGGUACCUACCCCGGGGUUCGGAAUAGCCACCAGAGAUGGUGGGUAAUACCGGAUGACCUCGUGAGAGCAAAGAUUUAUCGCCCUGGGAGGGGCCCAUGUGAUAUUAGCUAGUUGGUGAGGUAACGGCUCACCAAGGCGAAGAUGUCUAGCGGGUGUGAGAGCACGACCCGCGCCACUCGCACUGAGACACUGGCGAGACACCUACGGGUGCUGCAGUCGAGGAUCUUCGGCAAUGGGGGCAACCCGUGACCGAGCGAUGCCGCGUGCGCGAUGAAGGCCUUGGGUUGUAAGCGCGAAGAGGGAGAAAGCCGAAAGGUUGAUCGUAUCCUACAGUAACGCGUCGGACUAAGUUCGCGUCCGAGAACGCCGC
rnacentral:rRNA from 1 species